rnacentral:rRNA from 1 species
AGAGUUUGAUCCUGGCUCAGAUUGAACGCUGGCGGCAUGCCUUACACAUGCAAGUCGAACGGUAACAGGUCUUCGGAUGCUGACGAGUGGCGAACGGGUGAGUAAUACAUCGGAACGUGCCCGAUCGUGGGGGAUAACUACUCGAAAGAGUGGCUAAUACCGCAUACGAUCUACGGAUGAAAGCAGGGGACCCGCAAGGGCCUUGCGCGGACGGAGCGGCCGAUGGCAGAUUAGGUAGUUGGUGGGAUAAAAGCUUACCAAGCCGACGAUCUGUAGCUGGUCUGAGAGGACGACCAGCCACACUGGGACUGAGACACGGCCCAGACUCCUACGGGAGGCAGCAGUGGGGAAUUUUGGACAAUGGGCGAAAGCCUGAUCCAGCAAUGCCGCGUGCAGGAUGAAGGCCUUCGGGUUGUAAACUGCUUUUGUACGGAACGAAAAGGUUCUUUCUAAUAAAGAGAGCCCAUGACGGUACCGUAAGAAUAAGCACCGGCUAACUACGUGCCAGCAGCCGCGGUAAUA